UACGUAGGGGGCUAGCGUUGUCCGGAAUCAUUGGGCGUAAAGCGCGUGUAGGCGGUCCGGUAAGUCCGCUGUGAAAGUCGGGGGCUCAACCCUGGAAAGCGGGUGGAUACUGCCGGGCUAGAAUCCGGAAGAGGCGAGUGGAAUUCCCGGUGUAGCGGUGAAAUGCGCAGAUAUCGGGAGGAACACCAAUGGCGAAGGCAGCUCGCUGGGACGGUACUGACGCUGAGGCGCGAAAGCGUGGGGAGCAAACAGG
rnacentral:rRNA from 1 species